rnacentral:lncRNA from 1 species
UUUAUUGAUGCUUUUAACGACUCGGAUACCUUCAAGAAAAUGAGGUUAGUAAGGACUUGAACUUAGUUAAGCAGAGCUCUUAUAAUAAGACCCGUGUAAAGAGCAUAUGUAUGUGUUUGUACUAUUUAUAUUAGCGAAUAGAUACACAAAACCACCACAUACCAAAUUUUUAAACAUUGUCAAAUACAAAUAAAAGAAAGAGUAAAAUGACAGUUUCGUCCCUGAGGAGAGGUUUGGCCAGUUUUGCAACUUUUGUCCAAAGGUUUUUUUUCCACAUCUGGGUCCAAAAUGUUUGAAAUCUUCACCUCUUCUUCCAACUCGCGGAUGGCAGCAGUGCCGCUGUUGGGAUCAACAGCUCCAAAUGUCCAAGCAUCCCGGUGA